CCUAGUACGGCGAGUGAGCGGGAAGAGCUCAAAUUUGAAAUCUGGUAGCCUUCGGUUGCCCGAGUUGUAAUCUAGAGAAGUGUUUUCCGCGUUGGCCCAUGUACAAGUCCCUUGGAACAGGGCGUCAUAGAGGGUGAGAAUCCCGUCCUUGACAUGGACCCCCAAUGCUUUGUGAUACACUUUCAACGAGUCGAGUUGUUUGGGAAUGCAGCUCAAAAUGGGUGGUGAAUUCCAUCUAAAGCUAAAUAUUGGCGAGAGACCGAUAGCGAACAAGUACCGUGAGGGAAAGAUGAAAAGCACUUUGGAAAGAGAGUUAAACAGUACGUGAAAUUGUUGAAAGGGAAACGAUUGAAGUCAGUCAUGCUCUUUGGAUUAAGCCGUUCUGCGGUGUAUUUCAUUGAGCGGGGUCAACAUCAGUUUUGAUCGCUGGAAAAGGGCAGGAGGAAGGUAGCACUCUCGGGUGAACUUAUAGCCUCUUGUCGUAUACAGUGAUUGGGACUGAGGAACGCAGCAUGCCUUUUGGCCGGGAUUCGUCCACGUACAUGCUUAGGAUGUUGACAUAAUGGCUUUAAACGACCCGUCUUGCACCACGGGACCAC
rnacentral:rRNA from 1 species